UGUAUCUGAAGUCUGACGAGGAUGAGAACCUCCGGGGGCAAGAGGUUCGACCCGAGCGAAGCGAGAAAACGUUGCGCCAGCAACGGCCCGCAGGGCGAGCCAUCCUCUAUCACCGGCAG
rnacentral:sRNA from 3 species